UACGUAGGGCGCAAGCGUUGUCCGGAAUUAUUGGGCGUAAAGAGCUCGUAGGCGGCUUGUCACGUCGGGUGUGAAAGCCCGGGGCUUAACCCCGGGUCUGCAUUCGAUACGGGCUAGCUAGAGUGUGGUAGGGGAGAUCGGAAUUCCUGGUGUAGCGGUGAAAUGCGCAGAUAUCAGGAGGAACACCGGUGGCGCGAAGGCGGAUCUCUGGGCCAUUACUGACGCUGAGGAGCGAAAGCGUGGGGAGCGAACAGG
rnacentral:rRNA from 1 species